UCUUAUGCACAAGCAAAGAGAGUGGCUUCUUGAGCUGGAAACUACUCUUGGUGAAGAUGCUGUGAA
rnacentral:pre_miRNA from 1 species